GAUGAACGCUGGCGGCGUGCCUAAUACAUGCAAGUCGAGCGAACAGAUGAGGAGCUUGCUCCUCUGACGUUAGCGGCGGACGGGUGAGUAACACGUGGAUAACCUACCUAUAAAACUGGGAUAACUUCGGGAAACCGGAGCUAAUACCGGAUAAUAUAUUGAACCGCAUGGUUCAAUAGUGAAAGACGGUUUUGCUGUCACUUAUAGAUGGAUCCGCGCCGCAUUAGCUAGUUGGUAAGGUAACGGCUUACCAAGGCAACGAUGCGUAGCCGACCUGAGAGGGUGAUCGGCCACACUGGAACUGAGACACGGUCCAGACUCCUACGGGAGGCAGCAGUAGGGAAUCUUCCGCAAUGGGCGAAAGCCUGACGGAGCAACGCCGCGUGAGUGAUGAAGGUCUGCGGAUCGUAAAACUCUGUUAUUAGGGAAGAACAAAUGUGUAAGUAACUAUGCACGUCUUGACGGUACCUAAUCAGAAAGCCACGGCUAACUACGU
rnacentral:rRNA from 1 species